CCGAUGCUCUAGCUGCCUCUGAAAAGCCUGGCCUGCCAGUGGGAUCCUUCCCCUCAUUGGGCCCCACUGGUCUCCCUGCUAACAUGUGACUCCCAGUGGGCCCCUUGCAGGAGCUGAGACAAGCCUUAGACCCCACCGCUGGUCCUUCCUUGUCCUCCCUAAACCCAUCUGACCCUUGGACCUCCGAGCAACCUGGAAGCGCUAUCUGCUUGAACAUGACAUCUACUAUUUCAGAGUUUAGGCUUCGAGAUUAUGGACCAGCUAAAGGUCACUUAACCCAGGUUAAUUUGGUGUGUUUUUACCGGAAUUUUUGGUUUGGAGCACAUACAGUGUACUUCAUUGCCACUGCAAGAUAUUCUAGAACUUUGAGCAGAAGAGGAAUUAACCUUGGCUUAAAUGGCUUAUUAUAGUCCUAACUAGUUCAUUCCAGCACCAGGCCUGGUAUCCCUCUCUUAGCCCAUUAGUGUAGCUGAGGAGUAAGGCAUCAUAGCUCUGGUCUAAUGACACCCUGGGGCGAGUCAGCCAUGAAAAAGCCAUUCCGUCCCUCAGAGACUAGGAGGGCCCCAAAAGCAGGAUCAGGAAACUUUCUUUACUCACUGUUAUAAUCAUUAAACUCCAUCCCAAUCUGCACAUGUGCAUGCAUUUUCAUGUUCUGUCAUUUCAGUGUCCUCUAUAUCUAGAAAGCCCUUCAACUUUUCCCUGCUUGGAGCAAUCCUGUUCAUUCUUCAAACACCACCUUCUGUGGAGCCUUUUCUGAUUUUUCUACUCAUAACAAACCUUCUCUUCUUCCGGCUUCUCUUAGUACUUUGAGUCUUUCUCAGUGCAUUUAGCCCACUCUGCCUUCUGGUUCACAUGUAUGUCUCAUUCAUUAGGUCAACGAUCAAGUAGUGCCUAUUUGUACUAGGCACUGGGGGAUACAGGGUGCUCUCACAGUUUCAGUGGAAGCCCAGAGCUGGGUGGAAUUUUUACAUCCUUUAUUGGACUGGGAGCUUCUUGGAGACAGGACCUGGGUCUGCUCCCAGCUAAGGGCUUGGCAGCAAAAAGUACUCGGAAAAGUGACAUUGAAACUCAGCACCAAUGACUCUGAGAAAAUUGGGUUAGAAUUCAAAGAAAAGUUAAAAGUUAACAAAGGUAGCUCCAGAGUAUUUCCAGGAGGGGCUACAGUGGCUCUGAAAUCAGCAGUGUUGACAUGGAAGCCAGAGACAUCCGAGAUCCCCAGUGGAUUGGGCCUGUGGGGUAAGAGGGUCCACUGUCCUCUUCCAGGACCAACUUGGGAGUUAGAUGCAGGACCAGUCUGGACAUUUAUCACACAUUCCAGCCUAAAGGUUUUUUUUUGGCUUUGACUGAGCAGACCAUGGAGGCAAGCAGGUUUUCUUGAGGGCCCAGAAAUGAGUUACAAGCCAAGGGUCAAGCUGGUCAGAUGAUUAACACUACACUGUUUGGGUGGCACAAGAGAAAAGCAUAAUAAUGUGAAUGUCAUUCUUUGUGGAGGGUGCCUGGUUAUCAGAUGCUGAAAUAGAAAAUGUCAUUUGGAUUUUUACUAGGAAUUCUCAUCCAAAUUGUGUCAAUGAUGUAAUAAAACUGAAUGACCGGCCUACCAAAGUAAAGUGAGUUCUAACCACACACAUAAGCAUACUUAGAAAUUGUAUAGAGCUCAGAAAGCUGCUCUCCUCUGAGGCCUGAGAGCAAGAGCGGCCACUGCAAGGGAUUGGGGUCAGGAAGCACUUUAUUUAUGCACUAUAUACCAUAUUGUUCACUCCAGCCACCCCAUUAUGUUCAAUCUUAUUUUUCACUAUCUGCUUGCCUGUGCAGAAAGAGCUCCAAAUAGUAAGUCUCAGUGUUUUCUUUGCCUCUAUUUCCUUUAACGAAAUAAAAUUGUGAAAAAUAUAUAAUAUUAAACAGCACCCAGUCAUUCUCAGAGAGCUACCACACAAGGAAAGAACCACUAUUUCCCCAACUUUUUUGCAUAGUAAAUUACUCUAAAUUCCACCUUCCACCACUUCCCCCAGAAGUUUCGAUGUAGACAUAGGUUUAUUUAGUGAGUUGCAAUUCAGCCUGGGGGUGGAGUGCCAGAAUACAAGUUGCUUUUCCCGAGGGGUAACCCCAGGUCUUGGGGAUAUCUGCAGAUAAAUGAGAUGUUGGAAAAUUUGAGAUGUAAUUGCGGGAUUCGACCGGUUUCCCCUUUCCCUCGGCAAAUGGCUGCAGCCAGGUCCCUUUAAGAGACCAGGAACCCGCCGGGCGUCCGAGCCCGAAACGCAUCCUCUUCUCUGCUCCUCCCCUGUCCCCGCGCGCCGAAUGGUUCGCGCCGGCCUAUAUUUACCCGAGAUCUUCCUCCCGGACCGCAAGGAUGUGAGGCUGGCCAGCCGGACACCGCUCGCAGCACGGGACGGGCACGCCGCACGGGCGGACAGCAGUCCGAGGGGACCUCGGGAGCGGAGUCGGACACCCCCGGAGGGAAGAAAUGAGGUAGCGACCGUCCCCAGAGCCGACCAUGCGCGCGCGCCGCCCUCGGCGCCCCGUGCUGUCCGGGUCGAGCCAGCCGGGACAGUGAGCCGGCCGAGCCCGAGUACCCCGCGUCCGGCCGGAGCGAAGAUGCAGUGAGCCACAGCCGGAGUGCUGCGCCGGGCCCACCGCGGCCAGCGGGAGCAGCGUCUGACUGCACUUGGGGCAAGCAGCUGAUUCUGGGACCAGCCCAGUCGAGGGACUCUCGGUCUUCCGCACCCCUUGGGGUGGGGGAGCACUGGCCCCUGGGCACACUCGCCAUCCAGUUUCCGCAGCUUCUAGUCUCAGCCCAGGGGAUUGUGUGUGUGUGUGUGUGAGAGAGAGAGAGAGAGAGAGAGAGAGAGAGGUGAUGGAGAGG